rnacentral:lncRNA from 1 species
AGGGACACUUAUAUUCAUACCCUUCACGAGCUACUCUUGACAGCAGAGUGCUCGACAAAUGGUCACAUUUGAUGUGAAUGUACACCUACAUUCCACCUGCAUGCCAUACCAGUAUCUCCACACUCUUUGGUUAAGAGGACAACCAACUCAUAUGUAUUGAAAAUUGUGUCUUAAUAUCAAUUGUGUCACGAUUGAAUUUCUCUUUGUAUAUGAAUUAUUAAUUAAUGAAUAAUAGUUAUUCUAAUAUUUUUCAUCAUAAAGUUAUAUCUUUCUUGAACUCUUGGGUUGUGAUGAAGUCUUUAGAACUAU